rnacentral:rRNA from 1 species
UAGAGUUUGAUCCUGGCUCAGGAUGAACGCUAGCGGCAGGCUUAACACAUGCAAGUCGAGGGGCAUCGGGAGGGAAGCUUGCUUUCCUUGCCGGCGACCGGCGCACGGGUGAGUAACACGUAUGCAACCUGCCCUCUUCAGGGGGACAACCUUCCGAAAGGGAGGCUAAUCCCGCGUAUAUCGGUUUCGGGCAUCCGAGAUCGAGGAAAGAUUCAUCGGAAGAGGAUGGGCAUGCGGCGCAUUAGGUAGACGGCGGGGUAACGGCCCACCGUGCCGACGAUGCGUAGGGGUUCUGAGAGGAAGGCCCCCCACACUGGUACUGAGACACGGACCAGACUCCUACGGGAGGCAGCAGUGAGGAAUUUUGGUCAAUGGCCGAGAGGCUGAACCAGCCAAGUCGCGUGAGGGAAGAAUGUCCUAAGGAUUGUAAACCUCUUUUGUCGGGGAGCAAAAAGGCUCUGCGGAGUCGUAUUGAGAGUACCCGAAGAAAAAGCAUCGGCUAACUCCGUGCCAGCAGCCGCGGUAAUACGGAGGAUGCGAGCGUUAUCCGGAUUUAUUGGGUUUAAAGGGUGCGCAGGCGGCGUGUCAAGCAAGCGGUAAAAUAGCGGGGCUCAACCCCGUCGAGCCGUUUGAACUGGCGCGCUUGAGUUCAGGCGAGGUAGGCGGAAUUCGUGGUGUAGCGGUGAAAUGCAUAGAUAUCACGAAGAACUCCGAUUGCGAAGGCAGCUUACCAGUCUGCGACUGACGCUCAGGCACGAAAGUGUGGGUAUCGAACAGGAUUAGAUACCCUGGUAGUCCACACAGUAAACGAUGAGCGCUAGGUGUCCGGGUCGAAUGAGGCUUGGGUGCCCGAGCGAAAGCGUUAAGCGCUCCACCUGGGGAGUACGCCGGCAACGGUGAAACUCAAAGGAAUUGACGGGGGCCCGCACAAGCGGAGGAACAUGUGGUUUAAUUCGAUGAUACGCGAGGAACCUUACCCGGGCUCAAACGACUCAGGAAUAUAUUGGAAACGAUGUAGCCAGCAAUGGUCUGAGUCGAGGUGCUGCAUGGUUGUCGUCAGCUCGUGCCGUGAGGUGUCGGCUUAAGUGCCAUAACGAGCGCAACCCCUACCGCCAGUUGCCAACGGGUAAAGCCGGGAACUCUGGCGGGACUGCCGGCGCAAGCUGCGAGGAAGGCGGGGAUGACGUCAAAUCAGCACGGCCCUUACGUCCGGGGCGACACACGUGUUACAAUGGCAGGUACAGCGGGAAGCCACCUGGUGACAGGGAGCGGAACCCGAAAGCCUGUCUCAGUUCGGAUUGGAGUCUGCAACUCGACUCCAUGAAGCUGGAUUCGCUAGUAAUCGCGCAUCAGCCAUGGCGCGGUGAAUACGUUCCCGGGCCUUGCACUCACCGCCCGUCAAG